rnacentral:rRNA from 1 species
UAAAGCGCGCGCAGGCGGCCUCUUAAGUCUGAUGUGAAAGCCCCCGGCUCAACCGGGGAGGGCCAUUGGAAACUGGGAGGCUUGAGUAUAGGAGAGAAGAGUGGAAUUCCACGUGUAGCGGUGAAAUGCGUAGAGAUGUGGAGGAACACCAGUGGCGAAGGCGACUCUUUGGCCUAUAACUGACGCUGAGGCGCGAAAGCGUGGGGAGCAAACAGGAUUAGAUACCNUNNGUAGUC